rnacentral:rRNA from 1 species
GGGAAAAGCUCAAAUUUGAAAUCUGCCAACAGGCCGAGUUGUAAUUUGUAGAUGGCUACACUGCAUAAUAGUAGAUGCUCAAGUUCUUUGGAAAAAGACAUCAUGGAGGGUGACAAUCCCGUGAGGCAUGUUACUAGGAGCAUAUAGUGGGCUUUCUAAGAGUCGAGUUGUUUGGGAAUGCAGCUCAAAGUGCGUGGUGAAUACCAUGUAAAGCUAAAUAUGGACGAGAGACCGAUAGCGAACAAGUACUGUGAAGGAAAGAUGAAAAGCACUCCGAAAGGAGAGUGAAAUAGUACGUGAAAUUGUUAAAGUGGAAGGGCUUGAGAUCAGAAUUGGUAGUUUGGGUUCCACGUCCUCUUGGGGGCGUGUACUCCCUUUCCACCGGGCCAGCGGGAGUUUCGUCUCUUGGGUAAAAGCAGUGGAAUGUAGCAGCUUGUCUGUAUUAUAGCCUCUGUUCAUACAAGACGUCGAGACUUGAUUUGUUGGCGUAAUGAUCUCUAGCCACCCGUCUUGAACCACG